CCUAUAGCUCAAUGGAUAGAGCGUUUGAUUCCGGUUCAAAAAGUUGUAGGUUCGAUUCCUAUUAGG
rnacentral:tRNA from 1 species